AGUGAACGCUGGCGGUAGGCCUAACACAUGCAAGUCGAACGGCAGCACAGUAAGAGCUUGCUCUUACGGGUGGCGAGUGGCGGACGGGUGAGGAAUACAUCGGAAUCUACUUUUUCGUGGGGGAUAACGUAGGGAAACUUACGCUAAUACCGCAUACGACCUACGGGUGAAAGCAGGGGGUCUUCGGACCUUGCGCGAAUGAAUGAGCCGAUGUCGGAUUAGCUAGUUGGCGGGGUAAAGGCCCACCAAGGCGACGAUCCGUAGCUGGUCUGAGAGGAUGAUCAGCCACACUGGAACUGAGACACGGUCCAGACUCCUAAGGGAGGCAGCAGUGGGGAAUAUUGGACAAUGGGCGCAAGCCUGAUCCAGCCAUACCGCGUGGGUGAAGAAGGCCUUCGGGUUGUAAAGCCCUUUUGUUGGGAAAGAAAAGCAGCAGGUUAAUACCCCGCUGUUCUGACGGUACCCAAAGAAUAAGCACCGGCUAACUUCGUG
rnacentral:rRNA from 1 species